rnacentral:pre_miRNA from 1 species
UUAACUCAAAUUUGUAUGCAGUUAGAACAGCGCCCCUAGCGGCAAACGCAGACAAACGUUCCAACUCCGUACAAAUUUGAGUUA